CAGCCACACUGGGACUGAGACACGGCCCAGACUCCUACGGGAGGCAGCAGUAGGGAAUCUUGCGCAAUGGGGGAAACCCUGACGCAGCGACGCCGCGUGCGGGAUGAAGGCCUUCGGGUCGUAAACCGCUUUCAGCAGGGACGAAAUUGACGGUACCUGCAGAAGAAGGCCCGGCCAACUACGUGCCAGCAGCCGCGGUGAUACGUAGGGGUCUAGCGUUGUCCGGAAUUAUUGGGCGUAAAGAGCUCGUAGGCGGUUCGGCAAGUCGGAUGUGAAAUCUCCACGCUUAACGUGGAGGGGCCAUUCGAAACUGCCGUGACUCGAGUCCGGUAGGGGAGUUCGGAAUUCCCGGUGUAGCGGUGAAAUGCGCAGAUAUCAGGAGGAACACCAGUGGCGAAGGCGGUACUCUGGGCCACUACUGACGCUGAGAAGCGAAAGCAUGGGGAGCGAACAGGAUUAGAUACCCCGGUAGUCCACGCCG
rnacentral:rRNA from 1 species